rnacentral:rRNA from 1 species
UACAGAGGGUGCAAGCGUUGUCCGGAAUCAUUGGGCGUAAAGCGCACGUAGGCGGAUGUGUCAGUCAGGGGUGAAAUCCCGGGGCUCAACCUCGGAACUGCCUUUGAUACAGCAAGUCUUGAGUUCGAGAGAGGUGGGUGGAAUUCCUAGUGUAGAGGUGAAAUUCGUAGAUAUUAGGAAGAACACCGGUGGCGAAGGCGGCCCACUGGCUCGAUACUGACGCUGAGGUGCGAAAGCGUGGGGAGCAAACAGG